rnacentral:rRNA from 1 species
UCCGUAGGUGAACCUGCGGAGGGAUCAUUACCGAGCGAGGGCGUCAGGCCCGACCUCCGACCCUUUUGUGUCCUACACCCUGUUGCCUCGGGGGCGACCCGGCCGCCGCGUCGGGCCCCCCUGGGGACCCUCUCACCCAUGUAGUGGGUAACACUACCAGAAGGAGAAAGGCGCUCUGCCAACUCCGAGAACAAAUGGGAGUAAACAUAAAACCCUGCGUCCUCCUGCGUCUGAGUCGUGAGUAGAAAUUGAAUCAAAACUUUCAACAAUGGAUCUCUUGGUUCCGGCAUCGAUGAAGAACGCAGCGAAAUGCGAUAAGUAAUGUGAAUUGCAGAAUUCCGUGAAUCAUCGAAUCUUUGAACGCACAUUGCGCCCUCCGGUAUUCCGGAGGGCAUGCCUGUCCGAGCGUCAUCAACCCACCUCAAGCCUCGCUUGGUGUUGGGCGUCGCGGCCGCCGCGCGCCCUAAUGUCCCCGGCCGAGCCGGCCGUCCCGAAGCGUUGUGGCGUCUACUGUGCCGCUUCCGGGACCGGUCUGGCGGUGGGCCGUCAAACCCCCUUCAUCAAAGGUGGACCUCGGAUCAG